UUCGAGAGGGGCGAGUGUUGUUCGUAAUGACUGGGCGUAAAGGGUAUGUAGGUUGCUAUCACAAACAUGACGUAAAAUGCUGUAUUUAAGGAAUAUAGAAAUGCCGAUUGAAAGAGAUAGCUAGAAUUUGUCUCGGGAUAAAAGAAUUUUUUUUGUAGGGCUAAAAUCCGCAUUUGAAAAAAAGAGAAUGCCAAUGGCGGAAGCACUGAUCUAGAGAUAAUUGACGCUGAGGUACGAAAGCGUGGGGAGCAAAUAGG
rnacentral:rRNA from 1 species